CGUUGAGGACGAGGGCUGCGCGAGGACGAUGUUCGUUGACGGCAUCUUCGCCAUGCGCAAGCCCCAUGAUCGGAGGUGAACUGCCAACCACUUGUGGGCGGUGCUGACUGGCAACGGAGAGGCUCAAACCGCAUGCGAAGCGCGGCGACGGUCGCCGC
rnacentral:snRNA from 13 species